rnacentral:lncRNA from 1 species
UGCUCCCCUGCUCUUUGGGCUCCAGCCAUGUGGCCUUGCAGUCGUCCCACUUUCCAGGAGCCACUGACAGGCCCUCCCUUCUGCCUGAGCAUUGACUUCCCACCCCUCACCUUCCUGGGACACCUCCAUCUCUUCGUCAUCCCUUUAUCAGGGAUGCUUUCCCCCCCACCCCCGCAAUGGGCAGUUCUCCCCUUGUGCACUCACAGCACUUACUAUGGUGUGCUAUUUUAUUGCUGUGAUUCUCUGUCCAUUUCCUUACCUAGACCUAAGGUCCAUAGAUAGGGACUCUGUCUUUCUUCACUGGUCUUUGUAUCUUAACUAUGGUGGCAGGCCCAUAGCAGCCAUCGAAUAAAUAUUUGUUGAAUGAAUGAAUAAAUCACUAGUAAGAAACAGUGCUGAGUUCUGAAGAUCAACGUUAAUAACCAAUUACCUAGCACCGUUAUUGCCACCUAGUGGAGACUGAUGUUACGAUACCGCUGGGCCCAUUCUCAGUCGAUUGCCCUUUAUAGACAUCUGUUGUACUCCUGGCCCAGAAGGGAAUCAAUACAUGAAUAAUAGAUUCUUGGUGCGGUAUUAUAGCAGGCACUUCUCAACAUUGCCUACUUGAUGUCUGAGCAAAGGGCAUGUAAGCUGCCUUCCCCAGAGUCACGAGCUAAGGGGGAGACUUGUAAUUCAGCACCAGGUUAGAGAGCCUAGCCCCACUACUUCUGUGUUUUCUGCCAUUUGUUACAUGGAAUGUACCCAUAAGAAAACUAGAAUCAUUGUAGUGGUUGCAGAGGGCCUGAACAAAACUCGCUUUAAUGGAAGAAAAUAUAUUUUGUAGCUAGAGAAUGUACUAUGGGGCUCUUGGAAUUUCAUCAACACAUGAGAAUUCCCAGACGAGUGCUCACUGGUUAUGCGCAACCGAAGACCGGUGAAUGUUCUCAUUUGAAGGCCCCAGGACAAUUCUAUAUGCAGUAUUGCUGGAUGGCUCACAGAUCUCAGCAUAUUUUUCCUAGGCUUUUUGAUUUUCUGGCCCAGGAAGUGCUGGUCUUCAAAUCUCUGCAAGGUUUUAGGUCAUUUAUGAAGUAAUUCCUUUUUUUUUUUGGCUACACCUAAGGCAUGCAGAAGUUCCAGGGCCAAGAAUUGAACCCACAUCACAGCAGCAACCUGCUACUGCAGUGACAAUGCCAGAUCCUUAAACUGCUGAGCCACAAGAGAACUUGAGGGUGAAUCGAGCUGUAGCUGCCAGCCUACGCCAGAGCCACAGCAACGGGGAUCCGAGCCGCAUCUGCAACCUACACCACAGCUCGCAGCAACGCCGGAUUGUUAACCCACUGAGCAAGGCAGGGACCGAACCCGCAACCUCAUGGUUCCUAGUCGGAUUCGUUAACCACUGCGCCACGACUGGAACUCCUGCUGUCAUUUCUUGCUGGGUAUGUGCACCUGUCUCUUCCUGGUCCAGCCUCCUCAUAGAAGCCAGAGCCCUCCUGACACACAGGUUAGGUGAUGUGCAGUAUAAAUAUUUCACAAUAUUUAUUCUCAUGGAAUAAAACUCCUUCUUUAGCAAGGUGCCUGAGUUUUUGUUUCUGGCCCCUGCUUACCUCUCCAUCCUCUUCUCUCCAGUGCGGUUUUUGAUUUUUGACAUCCUGAACUUUCUGCCUGGAGUGUCCUUGUGUCACUUCUUUGCCUAAUUCCUUUUCAUCUUUUUUAGCAUAAGGAUAAGUCUUUAUGUAACUGUGUAAUUCUGGCAUGUAUAAGUUUAUGGAAUGUUUGGACAAACGUGGGAAUGAAUAAAUGAAUAAAUAAGUAUAAAGAAAAUGGAUUUCUAAAAAUUGUGGUAAAAUACAUGUAACACAAAAUUUACCAUCUUAACUAUUUUUUAGUGUAGAGUUCAGUGACAUUAAGUACAUUCACAUUUUUCUAUAACCAUCACCACCAUCCAUCUCCAGAAUGUUUUUUUCUUGUGGAAACUGAAACUUAGUACCCAUUAAAUGCUAACUCUUCAUUUCCCCCUCCCCCUAAACCCUGGCAGCUACCAUUCUACUUUGUUUCUACAAGUUUGACUACUCCAGAUUCUUCAUAUGAUGGAAUUAUACAGUAUUUGCCCUUUUGUGACAGGCUUGUUUCACUUAGCAUAAUGUCCUCAAAUUUCACCCAUUACAUUGUUGAGUAUGUCAGAAUUUCCUUGCUAUUUAAGGUCGAAUGAUAUUCCGUUGCACGUAUAGACCAUUAUUUUGUUUAUGCUUUCAUGUAUUGUUUGUACAAAGAUGUAAUUUGUAGCAUUGUUUGAAAUAGUGAAAGGUUGUAAGCCAUCUAAAAGUCAUGUGAGCAUUUCUGCUGGGCACAGUGGGUUAAGAAACCAUCAGUAGCAGCUUGGAUCACUGCAGAGGCACAAGUUCAAUGCCCGGCCUGGUGCAGUGAGUUAAAGGAUCUGGCGUUGCUGCAGCUGUGGUGGAGGUCACAGCUGUGGCUUGGAUUCAAUCUCUGGCCCAGGAACUUCCAUAGACUGCAGGUGUGGCCAUAAAAGUAAGUAAAUAAAAAUAAAUAAAUAUCCAUGUGUAGGGGAUUAGUGAUGUAAAAUAACCUUACAGUAGAAAACUGUGUAGCAGUGAUAAAGAAUGGGGCUUCCCAUCGUGGCUCAGUGGAAAGAAAUCUGACUCAUAUCCAUGAGGAUGCAGGUUCGAUUCCUGGCCUUGCCUUGCUUAGUGUGUUAAAGGAUCCAUUGUUGUGGUGAGCUGUGGUGUAAGUCGCAGACACGGCUUGGAUCUGGCGUUGCUGUGGCAUAGGCUGGCACCUGCACCUCCGUAGCCUGGGAACUUCCAUAUGCCUCGGGUGUGGCCCUAAAA